UCACACUGUUAUUCCCUAAUUGUAGACAUUCCCGCCUAAUUCUAUUACGUCAUCAGUCACACUUCAGUGACCACAUGAGAUUGCACCACAUACCGUGUAGCUUCAGUGUACCGUAAUACCCAAACAGAGCAACACCUAGUGUUCACAGCUCUGUGUUGUGUAGCUAGUACAUAGUAUUACACGUUGUAAGGCCGUUGGCUUUAUAAGUUGUUUGGUGAAAAAUCACACGUGGUGUGAUUUAGGCCUAUCUGAGAGAAAUGGCCUCAACAUCGCCUUCACCGAAAACCUCCACAGGGAAGGACAAACUUCCAGAGAAAAGACGAAGAGAAAGUUCUGGUGAUUCAACUGUGCUCUACAACGGUGCCAUUCACAGAUAAUUUGUUUGGUGAUGACAUCACCAAGAGGGUGAAAGACAUCCAAGAGGUGAACAAAGCAGGACACUCAAUUGGAACAUGGCAACACAGAGGUGCAAGCCGUGCUAGAGCAAGGGGUCGGGGAAUGAGGUUCAGAGGACGAGGCAGAGGCCAAUUCCGUCGACAGUACGUCCCCUCAACAGACAAUUAAAAAAACUCAUACCGAAACCCCAAGGGCCAGCCUGCUCAGGUCAAACACUCCAAGUAAGCAAUUGUACUGGGAAGAUCCAUACAGAAGAUCAGCAUGGACAAGGCAACCGGCAUUCUUGUGGUUCCCCUGUGGACAACACAACCGUGGUUUGCUCUUAUGUUGCACAUGGUGAUCAAACAGCCGAUCUUGCUCCCAAAGAAAGACUCACUGUUACACCUGCCGACAUCAACGCAACAACAUCCUCUCAGAAAGAAGCUGAGAUUGAUGGCCUGCCUUGUGUCAGGAGAUCACUCGAAGAGCAAAACAUUUCGCCAGCAGCAGCCACCAUCAUCAUGGCAUCAUGGUGGACUGACACAAAGAAACAGUACAGAGUCUACACAAGAAAGUGGAUACAGUUUUGUCGUAAAAUCAAGACAAAUAUCAUGCGUCCAAAUAUAACUCAAGUAUUGGACUUCCUAACUGAAUUAUUUCAUUCCGGAAUCGGAUACAGCGCCCUCAAUACCGCCAGAUCAGCACUUUCAGCAUUAUGUUUUACAGACAAUAAAACAACCGUCGGUGCCCAUCCAUUGGUGGUGAGAUUUAUGAAGGGUGUUUUCAACAUAAGACCCACACGGUCACGGUCCAGGUACAGCCACAUCUGGGAUGUAAAUAAAGUACUUGAGUUCCUGAAAACUUGCUCACCAGUAACUGAACUAACUUUGAAGACACUUACGCAGAAACUUGUUAUGUUAAUUGCGUUGGUGACAGUGUCAAGAGGACAGUCGCUUAAAUUACUUAUUUUGAAUAAUUUAGCCAUCGUUGAUGACUCCUUUGUUUUCACUUAUAGCGAAGUGCUCAAGCAGAGCAGACCAGGCUAUGUCAAUCCUAUUGUUAGAUUGGUUCCAUAUACACCAGACAAGAAACUUUGUGUAUGUGAUGCAUUGACAGAGUAUUUGUCUUGAACUGAUAAUAUUCGUGACCCCUCUGAAGGUCAAUUAUUUAUAAGUUGUGUUAAACCACACAAAGCAGUGUCUAAAGCAACAAUAAGCAGGUGGAUACGUAAUGUAAUGGACAAGUCAGGUAUUGACACUAAUCAGUUCAAGCCUCACAGUGUGAGAGCAGCAGCUACCUCUAAGGCUAAAGACCGAUUUGUUCCUAUUGAGCAGAUCUUAAGAACAGCUGGCUGGUCUUCAGAGUGUACAUUUGCAAGGUUUUAUGAUAAACCGAUAUGUAAUGAUGGCCAAUUUGCCGAAAGUGUAUUAAGCGAAGGUCAUUCGUAAACAUUCCGUACAAGAGAGAAGUGUAACAUGUAUGUUCAUAUAUGCUUAUGCAGGCCGCAUGAAAGCUCUUUCAGAUUAAACCAUGCUGUUGCGGUUGACAA